UUUUAAAAAUUUCAACCUUUGUACCAUUAAAAACUUGUGUGGCUGACAAAAUAAUUAGAUAGUAACACAUGACAUACUAUGUGUAUCUCAUGUUGACAUAUAGGGAUCAAUUAUUAAUAUUAAAAAUAGAUGAAAUUUUUAAUA
rfam:Gossypium arboreum cultivar AKA8401 contig_42693_3, whole genome shotgun sequence.